ACACGACUACAUUAGAUACCCGGGUAGUCCUAGCCGUAAACGAUACUCGCUAGGUGUCGGCCACGGUGCGACCGUUGUCGGUGCCGUAGGGAAGCCGUGAAGCGAGCCACCUGGGAAGUACGGCCGCAAGGCUGAAACUUAAAGGAAUUGGCGGGGGAGCACAACAACGGGUGGAGCUUGCGGUUUAAUUGGAUUCAACGCCGGAAACCUUACCGGGACCGACAGCAACAUGAAGGCCAAGCUGAAGACUUUGCCGGAUUAGCUG
rnacentral:rRNA from 1 species